rnacentral:misc_RNA from 1 species
GUACCCUCAAGCUCUGCUUGGUGUUGGGUGUUUGUCCCGCUUUUCGCGUGGACUCGCCUUAAAACAAUUGGCAGCCGGCAUAUUGGCUUGGAGCGCAGCACAAUUUGCGCCUCUUGUCAUGAUUGUUGGCAUCCAUCAAGACCAUUUUUUGC